rnacentral:rRNA from 3 species
GACGAGUCUCACGAACGUUAUUCGGAAUUACUGGGCUUAAAGGGUGCGUAGGCGGUGGAGUAAGUCGGAUGUGAAAUACCUUAGCUUAACUAGGGAACUGCACUCGAUACUACUUUGCUAGAGUAAGACAGAGGUGAGUGGAACUGAGGGUGGAGCGGUGAAAUGCGUUGAUAUCCUCAGGAACACCGGUGGCGAAGGCGACUCACUGGGUCUUUACUGACGCUGAUGCACGAAAGCUAGGGUAGCAAACGGG